GACGAACGCUGGCGGCGUGCUUAACACAUGCAAGUCGAACGGGCCAUGUCCCCUUUUUUUUUUGGGGUGGGGUUAGUGGCGAACGGGUGAGUAACACGUGAGUAACCUGCCCCUCACUUCUGGAUAACCGCUUGAAAGGGUGGCUAAUACGGGGUGUUCUGGCCUGCUCGCAUGGGUGGGUUUGGAAAGAUUCGACCGGUUUUGGUUGUUUUGGUGGGGGAUGGGCUCGCGGCCUAUCAGCUUGUUGGUGGGGUGAUGGCCUGCCAAGGCUUUGACGGGUAGCCGGCCUGAGAGGGUGGGCGGUCACACUGGGACUGAGACACGGCCCAGACUCCUACGGGAGGCAGCAGUGGGGAAUAUUGCACAAUGGGCGCAAGCCUGAUGCAGCGACGCCGCGUGAGGGAUGGAGGCCUUCGGGUUGUGAACCUCUUUCGCCAGUGAAGAAGGUCCUGCUCUUUGUGGUGGGGUUGACGGUAGCUGGGUUAAUGAAGCGCCGGCUAACUACGUG
rnacentral:rRNA from 1 species